UACGUAGGGGGCGAGCGUUGUCCGGAUUUAUUGGGCGUAAAGAGCGUGUAGGCGGUUCGGUAAGUCUGUCGUGAAAUCCUGAGGCUCAACCUCGGGCGUGCGAUGGAUACUGCCGGGCUAGAGGGUGGUAGAGGCGAGUGGAAUUCCCGGUGUAGCGGUGAAAUGCGCAGAUAUCAGGAGGAACACCGAUUGCGAAGGCAGCUCGCUGGAACGUUACUGACGCUGAGACGCGAAAGCGUGGGGAGCAAACAGG
rnacentral:rRNA from 1 species